AAAAAAUUAAUCCAACCUCCUGUAGUAAGUAUAUCAGAACUUCUUGAGCUACCAGCAGAGGGCAUUAUGAAUAAAAAGUUUGCCGGUUUAAUUAUUCAUUAAUCAACAGAAACUACUGAAAUUGCAAGGUUUUUUUAACUGUAAGACAAUGGACAUUUGAAUCAAAGUGUAUUAAAAGUUAAUAAUUAUAUUGUUUUGUCAAGUGUUAUGUGGUCUUAAAAUCUUUUAAAGUAAGUUCAGUGUAAACAUUGAAAAAUACACUCAAAUUUGUAAUGACUACAAAUUCAUUAGCAUUUUGGAUGCUUGCUAAAAUGAAAUAGUUUC
rnacentral:lncRNA from 1 species